AAUCCUAUCCUUUGUGAAUUUGUUUGUUUAUAAUUUGUGUCUUUCCCUGUUUUGAUGGAGCUUGUAAAAGCAAAGUCAUCAGGGGAAUGGCAAAACUUUUUUUUAAAUUAACUUUUUGUAUUCAUUUGUCUAAAAUUAUUUUUAUAAUAUAAAAACAACUUUUGACAAUGGAUCUCUUGGUUCUCGCAACGAUGAAGAACGCAGCAAAAUGCGAUAAGUAGUGUGAAUUGCAGAAUACGUGAAUCAUCGAAUCUUCGAACGCAUAUUGCACUUUUUGGUUUACCAAAAAAGUAUGUCUGUUUGAGUAUCAGUAAAGUAUUCUCAUAAAAACUAUUGUUUUUAUGGUUAUGAGUGUUUUACAACGAUAAACAAGUUGUUUCACUUUAAAUUCUUUGACUUGAAAAAAAUCAUUAAAAACUGAUUUUUUUUAAAAUUGGAUAAAAUUUUCCUGUAAAAGGAAUAACCUAAACAAUUUUAAGAAAUUAUUAGUUUGAUUUUUUAAAAAGUACUAAAGGAAAAAAGUAAAAAUUAACUUGAUCUCAAAUCAGAUAAGAGUACCCGCUGAACUUAAGCAUAUCAAUAAGCGGAGGAAAGAAACUAACUAGGAUUCCUCAGUAACGGCGAGUGAAGCGGGAAGAGCUCAAAUUUGAAAUCUUCAAGGUUCUACCUUGACGAAUUGUAGUUUAAAGAAGUGUUUUCUGUUGGAGUUUGGUAAAAGUUCUUUGGAAUAGGACAUCAUAGAGGGUGAGAAUCCCGUAUUUGACCAUUAUUUCACUGUGUGAUACACUUUCAAAGAGUCGGAUUGUUUGGGAAUGCAGUCCAAAUGGGUGGUAAAUUUCAUCUAAAGCUAAAUAUGGCGAGAGACCGAUAGCGAACAAGUACCGUGAGGGAAAGAUGAAAAGAACUUUGAAAAGAGAGUUAAACAGUACGUGAAAUUGUCAAAGGAAGCGUUUGACACCAGUGUUGUUUUCUCGAAAAUCAAUUAAAAAUGGCUGAUUUUGUGUUGUAUUGACUUAAUAGCUUUCUGCACUUUUUUCCUGUCUUUUUUAAUGCACUUUUCGUUUAACAAGUCAACAUCAAUUUCUUUUGUUGUAAAAGGUCAUUGGAAGGUGGCUUUCUUUUCGGAGAAAGUGUUUAUAGCCUUUGACUUCUGCAAUCGGAGAGAUUGAGGUCUGCAGCGUAGAUCCUUCUGGUUAGAUCAUUUGUGCUAAGUUAUAGCUUUAUAGACAACUUGUUGACUAUAUCAGUCAUGUAGCUUACUCGCUUAUGCUAUUUUACCUACGCUUAGGAUGUUGA
rnacentral:misc_RNA from 1 species